UACGUAGGGGGCAAGCGUUGUCCGGAAUUAUUGGGCGUAAAGAGCGUGUAGGCGGCCAGAUAAGUCCGCUGUGAAAUCUCGAGGCUCAACCUCGAGACGCCGAUGGAAACCGUCUGGCUAGAGUCCGGAAGAGGAGAGUGGAAUUCCUGGUGUAGCGGUGAAAUGCGCAGAUAUCAGGAAGAACACCUAUGGCGAAGGCAGCUCUCUGGGACGGUACUGACGCUGAGACGCGAAAGCGUGGGGAGCGAACAGG
rnacentral:rRNA from 1 species